GACGAACGCUGGCGGCGUGCUUAACACAUGCAAGUCGAACGGAAAGGCCCUGCUUUUGUGGGGUGCUCGAGUGGCGAACGGGUGAGUAACACGUGAGUAACCUGCCCUUGACUUUGGGGUAACUUCAGGAAACUGGGGCUAAUACCGGAUAGGAGCUCCUGCUGCAUGGUGGGGGUUGGUAAGUUUCGGCGGUUGGGGAUGGAAUAGCGGCUUAUCAGCUUGUUGGUGGGGUAGUGGCUUACCAAGGCUUGGAAGGGUAGCCGGCCUGAGAGGGUGACCGGCCACAUUGGGACGGAGAUACGGCCCAGACUCCUACGGGAGGCAGCGGUGGGGAAUAUUGCACAAUGGGCGGGGGCCUGGUGCAGCACCGCCGCGUGCGGGAUGACGGCCUGCGGGUUGUGAACCGCUUUCGCCUGUGACGAAGUGUGAGUGACGGUAAUGGGUAAAGAAGCACCGGCUAACUACGUG
rnacentral:rRNA from 1 species